rnacentral:antisense_RNA from 1 species
CUUCUCGACAAGUGGACGAGCAUCUACUGUGCUUUCACAGCGGCUAUCACUAUUGCCAGCAGCAAGACUGUCAGCUCGGCGCCCUCGUCUGGUUGGAUGGGAAACUGCAGUUGCUAAGGGAGCUGGGUUUGAAUCUCUGAGGACAAAUGGGAAUUCUCACUGAUUUCUAGGACUACCCUGGGGCAGAAAUGGAGUUUCAUCACAUUGCCUAGGCUGGUCUCGAAAUCCUGGACUCAAGUAAUCUGCUGGCCUCAGCCUCCCUAACUGCUGGGACUACAGACAGGCCUGAGCGACCACCCCUGGCUGUAAACAUUUUCUUAGCUCAAGGACUGCUGAAUUUGUAUCCAUUUUCUUCUCUCCUAUCUCAAUUGGGUGGGUGAAAUGAUACUGUUAAUUAUUUUCUGUUACUUUCGAAUGCUUCUUUGUGGUGAACUGAGGGCAUAGUAAUACUGUAGCAGCUAAC